rnacentral:rRNA from 1 species
AUUGAACGCUGGCGGAAUGCUUUACACAUGCAAGUCGAACGGCAGCACGGGGGCAACCCUGGUGGCGAGUGGCGAACGGGUGAGUAAUACAUCGGAACGUGCCCAGUCGUGGGGGAUAACGUAGCGAAAGCUACGCUAAUACCGCAUACGAACUCAGGUUGAAAGCGGGGGAUCGCAAGACCUCGCGCGAUUGGAGCGGCCGAUGGCAGAUUAGGUAGUUGGUGGGGUAAAGGCCUACCAAGCCGACGAUCUGUAGCUGGUCUGAGAGGACGACCAGCCACACUGGGACUGAGACACGGCCCAGACUCCUACGGGAGGCAGCAGUGGGGAAUUUUGGACAAUGGGCGCAAGCCUGAUCCAGCCAUUCCGCGUGCAGGAUGAAGGCCCUCGGGUUGUAAACUGCUUUUGUACGGAACGAAACGGUGCUGGUUAAUACCCGGCGCUAAUGACGGUACCGUAAGAAUAAGCACCGGCUAACUACGUGCCAGCCGCCGCGGUAAGAC